rnacentral:misc_RNA from 1 species
GAUGAAGAACGUAGCGAAAUGCGAUAAGUAGUGUGAAUUGCAGAAUUCAGUGAAUCAUCGAAUCUUUGAACGCACAUUGCGCCCCUUGGUAUUCCAUGGGGCAUGCCUGUUCGAGCGUCAUUUGUACCUUCAAGCUCUGCUUGGUGUUGGGUGUUUGUCUCGCCUCUGCGUGUAGACUCGCCUCAAAACAAUUGGCAGCCGGCGUAUUGAUUUCGGAGCGCAGUACAUCUCGCGCUUUGCACUCAUAACGACGACGUCCAAAAGUACAUUUUUACACUCUUGACCUCGGAUCAGGUAGGGAUACCCUCUGAACUUAAGCAUAUCGAUAAGCGGAGGA